AUCAGUUCUCAGCCUAGUAACUAAGAUCACCUGUAGUAUCUGUUUGUCUCAGUUUAAUAUCUCAUGCGUCCCCUAUCUGGCGACCAUAUAUAUAUAUAUAACGGAUUUUUAGAACAGGGAGAGUGAAAAAAAGCUUGCUGUGUCCACUCCACGUGUUGACCUACUCUACUGUGGAUUGCCUUU